GGGAAAGGAAGGAUCGUCCAAAGCAUCCAAGGGGACAGGAUUUGCACCAGGGGUGAAGAAAUUUGGACACCGAUGAUGUAUAUUCAUGCGACAAAUAUCGCUGUCCACCGGUUCAUCGAAGAAAAAUGUCGGACUCUACCGGUGAUACCAUACGCUUCUUCUUCAAACCCUUCUUCCUUUUACCACCCUUAGAAAGCUUUG
rnacentral:misc_RNA from 1 species